rnacentral:tRNA from 1 species
GCCUGGCCAGUUCAGUCGGGGGAACGUGUGACUCUUGAUCUCAGGGAUGUGAGUUCAAGCCCCAUGUCAGGUG